rnacentral:tRNA from 1 species
GCCUGGGUGGCUCAGUUGGUUGAGCGCCUGACUUCAGCUCAGGUCAUGAUCUCGCAGUUUGUGGGUUGGAGCCCGUGUCAGGCU